CUGGCGGCGUGCUUAACACAUGCAAGUCGAACGGGAUAUAUUGAUUGAGAGCUUCGGCAGGAUAUCGAUAUAUUCGAGUGGCGGACGGGUGAGUAACGCGUGAACAAUCUGUCCCGGACAGGGGGAUAACACUUGGAAACAGGUGCUAAUACCGCAUAAGACCACAGCAUCGCAUGGUGCGGGGGUAAAAGGGGAAAUCCGGUUCGGGGUGAGUUCGCGUCCGAUUAGAUAGUUGGUGAGGUAACGGCCACCAAGUCGACGAUCGGUAGCCGACCUGAGAGGGUGAUCGGCCACAUUGGAACUGAGAGACGGUCCAAACUCCUACGGGAGGCAGCAGUGGGGAAUAUUGGGCAAUGGGCGAAAGCCUGACCCAAGCAACGCCGCGUGAGUGAAGAAGGCCUUCGGGUUGUAAAGCUCUGUUAUGCGAGAAGAAGGACGUGACGGUAUCGCAUAAGGAAGCCCCGGCUAACUACGUGCCAGCAGCGGC
rnacentral:rRNA from 1 species